AUUGAACGCUGGCGGCAGGCCUAACACAUGCAAGUCGAGCGGCGCGGCGGACGGGUGAGUACUGCCUAGGAAUCUGCCUGGUGGUGGGGGAUCACGUACGGAAACGGGCGCUAAUACCGCAUACUAUCAAAUGAGCCUAGGUCGGAUUAGCUAGUUGGUGGGGUAAAGGCGUACCAAGGCGACGAGUCGUAACUGGUCUGAGAGGAUGAUCAGUAACACUGGAAGUGAGACACGGGCCAGACUCCGACUGGGAGAAGGAGUGGGGAAUAUUGGACAAUGGGCGAAAGGCUGAUCCAGCCAGGCCGGGUGUGCGAAGAAGGUCUUCCGAUGGUAAGCACGUUAAGUUGGGAGGCGUUACCAACAGAAUAAGCACCGGCUAACUCCGUGCCAGCCGCCGCGGUAAUAC
rnacentral:rRNA from 1 species